GAUCGUCGUCAGAUAAAUCGUAACCUUCCGAACAAUGUGUUAAUGUUGCAUGCGUAACAUAGUUUAUUGUAGAUAUUUUUUGUUGUAUAGAAAGAGAAGCGUCCUGAAAGCAUGACCUAUAGUUUAGAAAUAUAUAUAGAACACGGAAAAACAUUGGGACAUAAGAGUGCACAGACAAAACUAAUAAAUAGAAAACUAGAGCAUAAAUUAAAUUGAGCAGCACUCAAUAUAAUGAACUUAAGCAUCAGCAAACAUGAGAGAAAUGGUGUCCUUAAUGACCUUUAUUUAAAAAAAAAUUGAGCUUUGAAGAAGAUGAAAAAUCAACACUGAAAUUUUUAUGAAAAUGUGUAUUUCUUUCCUUGACUGAUUUCUAUUUCUUAUAUAAUUUAUCUGGCAGGUCAGUGGGUUUCUUAAAGGGCUAUUCCCUUAUGACUGAAAUAAAUAAUGUGGAGGGGGAUAGGGGGGACAGGGAGCACUUUGGAUCUUUCUCCACCAGUAAAACUAGACUGAUUUACCUAACAAAUUUAUAAUUGUCAAAAUGGUUUAAUGACAUUAAUUUUGUCAGCAUAUUGAUGAAUAAGUAAUGAAAUAAUUUGAAAAAGUAACAUUUAUUGUACUAUUCAUUUUAGAUCCUGAUGAAGGUCUUGAAAGACCAAAACCAGUAGAUCCUUGAAUAAACCAGUUUACAAACCAUCCUGAUGUUUGACGUGUGUUCUCUCCUCUUGAUUUACUUGUUAAUAUAAAGUAAUAUAAAAUUUCUGUUUAAUGCAAACAUGAUUUUGCAAGAAAAAGAUAUUUAUUACUGACAUGUCCCUUUUAGGCCACCAUAUUUUUGAAGAAUAUAUGUUAAAGGCUGUGAUAUGUUACUUUGUAGUCAUACCAUCAUCUCAUUUGUCAUGCUCAUUUCUACAGCAUAUACUUCUUGCUUUUUUUCCCUCUUACUUGAACAUUAUAUCUCCUGCAAUAUUCAACUGAUUCUUUAACAUUUGAUUUUAUUUCCAAGUAAAUUUUAACAUAAUACUUUAAAAUCCCACCAUGACAUACUUUACUCCAACUUAAACAUGAUUUUAUUUUAGUAACUUCAUUGCAACCUGAUUUUUACAAUUGAAAUGGUUUAUAUUUUGAUUUCAACCAGAUUUCCAAUGAAUAACUAAUAGCUUGAUUUACUUUGAUUUCCACACUAAGAAUGCUUGAUUUCAAUUAGCACUUAGAAUGGCUUAUUUCUUGAUUUCAACCAGAUUUCCACACUUAGAAUGACAUAUCUUGAUUUCAACCAGAUUUCCACACAUAGAAUGGCAUAUCAUUAUUUCAACCAGAUUUCCACACUUAAAAUGGCUUAAAAAAGACAAUAUCAGACCAGGGUAUAUAUUUAGUAACGUCACAGCUGGUACAACACCAACUAGGUGCACCCCUGUCUCAUGUUAAGUUGAAGACCUAUUUACCAUUCAUUUACAUUAAUAAUUUGUAGUAGUGGGCUUUUAAGUAUUUUACCAUUGUUUAACAUCACUUUUAGAUAGGCCUUUAAAUAUACAGAUGACAACAUUCUUAAAAAAUGUUUUUGGUGGUUUUGAAUUUUUUUUUGGCCUUAAAAUAAUAGGGUAAUGAAAGCAUUGAUUAGUACAAAAUGUAGUUACACUAUUGGUAUAUGGUAUUUUUACUUUAAGAUGAGUCAACAGGUUCAAGCUUCUUUAAUAAUUAUGCAUGGUUCUAGGUUUUAAUGUCAUAUCUAUGCAUGUAAAUAAAAAACAAAAACAAAUAAAACUUGUAUAUUGUGCGUUUAAAAGGUCUUCUGAACAAAUGUUCAAUAUCUAGUCAAUUUUGCAAAAUAUGUUUGUUGCAUUAUUGUACUUCAAAA